GGAGAUGGUGGCGUAUGAUGCGUGGGAGGGGGAGGUGGUGGCGUAUGAUGCGUGGGAGGGGGAGGCGGUGGCGUAUGAUGCGUGGGAAGGGGAAGCAGUGGCAUAUGAGGUGUGGGAAGGGGAAGUGGUGGCGUAUGAGGUGUGGGAAGGAGAGCGGGCAAAUGUGGUGGGAGCUGGGAAAGAAGACACAGAUGCAUUGUUAGUUAGACGACCUGCCUUGGCAGGAGGCAUUGGG
rnacentral:lncRNA from 1 species